AAGUCGUAACAAGGUUUCCGUAGGUGAACCUGCGGAAGGAUCAUUACCGAUUUUAGUGGACCUGAUCUUUGGUCAUGGUCUCGCGAAAACUUGUAUUUAAAACCCCACUCUUAUAAAUUGAAUCAUUUUAUUAUAUGUAUAAUAAAUAAAGAUCACUUUCAACAACGGAUCUCUUGGCUCUC
rnacentral:misc_RNA from 1 species